CUAGGUACACAUAAGGUAUAAAUAUCAACAAUAAUAUAUUGAUAUAAUCUGAUAUAUUACCAAGUUAAAUAUAUCAAUAUUAGAUCAAAUACAGUAUCAAUAUGAUGCUUUAUUGCCUUCCGUCUUUGCAUUGGUGGGUGUCAGAUCUUGACGAAAAAAGGUAUCGUGAGUCUUAAUUUUACAAGCUCAUCAAGACAUCAUUUAAAAUAUUUUUAAAAAUAUUCAUCUUGGCAUCAGUGACGCCCCCAAAAUAGAUCUAAUUCAUCUCGCCAAAUACAUGAUACAGAAAAUAACUACAACUUUAUUAUUACAACAACACAUAUGUUGUGAGUUUUGAUACAAAUAUAUGCCAACUGUGACUCAUGUCCCAACCGUGGACAGCAUCUCACAGUGAUAACUUACAUAAAGGUACAGUCAAUAACUGUUUUAGAAAUUAAAAUCUUUGAGAAGUGCUCAAGGAAACCUUCGUACAUGGGAGACCAUGCGUGUAGGUUAUGAUAGAUAUCAUAGGACUCGAGAAUUAUUCUUGACGAGAAGAUUACUAUCAUGUUCCUUCCAAUGGUGAGUCUUCUCUUGACAUAUAAUUAUCUCCACUGUCUGCCAAACUCCAAGAUCAUAUAGGUAGUGCUUGUAGAUAUACUCAGCAAGUGGAUGUGCAAACUAUCAAAAUUAAAUUUACAAUUAACUUAAAUUAUAAACUUGAACACUUUAAUAAAUUUUUAAGAACUUACGAUAUAUUUAAACAGAGAAAUCACGAUCGGAUGAGAUCAAGCACACAUGAACCUAAAAUUCCAUAGAGCUCGAUCUCUAAUAACUAGAAUGAAUAAGCGCAGGCCUGGAUCAAAGUUCAUCCCACAUCUACAAACUGAUAUUUGAUUUAAGGAAUCAGUUAAACUAGUAAUAAUAUGAAUAAAGAUGCAAAACUAAGUAAUAUAGAGAGAAUCAUUGAUGUACCUUUGGACAGGGAGCCAAUAUGGAUGAAUAAUAGACUGCCAGAUAAAGUAAUAGCAGAACCAUCACUUUCUUUUUUCUUCUUCAUGAGGGAGGGAGGGAGGGAGGGAGGGAUAAAAGAUAUGAAGCCCUAGCACACAUUUAUAUAAAGGAAAUAGAGUGACUUAUUACUCACUCC
rnacentral:lncRNA from 1 species